rnacentral:SRP_RNA from 1 species
UCGUGCAGCCGGGGAGUCAGCGGUGCCCUGAACCUGCAAUCCGCUACAGCAGGGGUGAUACUGAACCGAGGACUGUCCAUUGUAUGGCUGCCUCUUAUAAGUGGCGUUGACGUCUGGGUCUCGCGCAACGGGAAUUCAUGAACCGUGUCAGGGCAGGAAUGCAGCAGCACUAAGUGAAACCUCCCGUGUGCCGUGAGGGUGCCUGGGCCGAGUUAACUGUAAGAGUAACGCGUAUGGUGGCUUUUCGAAGGGAAGUGCACGA